rnacentral:rRNA from 1 species
CACGCCGUCACACCAUGGAGUCAGUUGCUCUAGAAGUCGGUGCGCCAACCUCGAGGCAGCCGCCUAAAGAGUGACUGGUGACUGGGGUG